rnacentral:rRNA from 1 species
CAGUAGCCGCGGGAAUACGUAGGUGGCAAGCGUUGUCCGGAAUUAUUGGGCGUAAAGGGCUCGCAGGCGGUUUCUUAAGUCUGAUGUGAAAGCCCCCGGCUCAACCGGGGAGGGUCAUUGGGAACUGGGAAACUUGAGUGCAGAAGAGGAGAGUGGAAUUCCACGUGUAGCGGUGAAAUGCGUAGAGAUGUGGAGGAACACCAGUGGCGAAGGCGACUCUCUGGUCUGUAACUGACGCUGAGGAGCGAAAGCGUGGGGAGCGAGCAGGAUUAGAUACCCGGGUAGUCCCUGUCUCUUAUAC